AGUCAUUUUAAUGUACUUAGACCGGUAUUUUAUUAAGGAUCUGACAGAGUUUGUUUUCAUUUAUUUAAUUCAGAUACUAUUAUAUUCCAAACACAGGAUAAUGUAUUUGCUAGUUCUCAUUUAUUACCUGGUACCUGGUGUAAUACUAUUCCACUUAAAUAUAUUGCAUCAUCUAAUUGGAAUUUUACCAUGCCCCAAACUCUUAAUAUUACUUUAAAUUUAACAUGGGACCAUGUUAUGAAUUUUUCUGUUUAUAAUUUACCUUUGGGUAUGGGAUCACAAAUGAAGAAAUGGUUAACUGAUUCUACUAUAAUUUCUUCCUUGUUACAAAAUCUAAAACAUGUUUCUGUAGAUACUAAUAUUACAGUUGAACAUGAACAAGGAAUUUUAAAAUCAGCUACUUCUAGUAUUUUACAGGAUGCAAAUAUAUCUUGGUGGGAAUCUGUAUUUGGAUAUAGAUACUCCUAUCUCUCUCUUUUCUUGGUGUCUGGAUGGAAUUCUUUUGAUUUGCACUUGGGCUCUUCUGAAUUGAUCUGCCUGACUACUACUGGACAUGCUGAGGCCUUGUGACAAGUUUACCUAUGGUUGCUGCAAUCGUUACCUGCAACUAACUGUGUCGUCUACUUGUUUCACCCUAUGGUUCUUCCUUGGCCUUUUCAGUGGUUAUAUACACUAUUUGUUCCUGUUUGUAAGCACUAUGAAGAUUACACAUGUUGUAUUUCUUGAUGGAACUGCUCCUACAGACUUUAUUGCUUUCAAUUCUGCAACAAAUGUAUCUUACUACUAAGGUAGUUAUGAACUGAACUUUCUCUGCAAUGACGCUGCUAUGGAUUUGAUUCCUUCAAUCAAGACUUGAACAUCUUUAUUUAUGAACUAUGUAAUUAUUGGAACAUUCUUUAUAGUAGUGUAUGACGUCAAAUCCACUGUCUAUUGUUUGAAAUAUGUCUGGUAUAUGUCUGGUA